CCUACGGGAGGCAGCAGUGGGGAAUCUUGCGCAAUGGGCGAAAGCCUGACGCAGCAACGCCGCGUGUGGGACGAAGGCUCUCGGGUUGUAAACCACUUUCAGCAGGAACGAAAUUGACGGUACCUGCAGAAGAAGCACCGGCCAACUACGUGCCAGCAGCCGCGGUAAUACGUAGGGUGCAAGCGUUGUCCGGAUUUAUUGGGCGUAAAGAGCUCGUAGGCGGCUUUGUAAGUCGGGUGUGAAAACCCCAGGCUCAACCUGGGGACGCCACUCGAUACUGCAAUAGCUAGAGUUUGGUAGGGGAUCACGGAAUUCCUGGUGUAGCGGUGAAAUGCGCAGAUAUCAGGAGGAACACCGGCGGCGAAGGCGGUGAUCUGGGCCAAUACUGACGCUGAGGAGCGAAAGCGUGGGGAGCAAACAGGAUUAGAUACCCUGGUAGUCCACGCCGUAAACGUUAGGCGACUAGGUGUGGGCCGUUUAUCAACGAGGUACCGUGCCGCAGCUAACGCAGUAAGUAGCCCGCCCUCGGGGACGGUACGGGUACGGCGAAGAACUAAAAACUACAAAACGGAAAGUUAAGAACGGACGNGAGACGUAGCCGAACGGACGACGACGAACGGGAGUAGGAG
rnacentral:rRNA from 1 species